GACGAACGCUGGCGGCGUGCUUAACACAUGCAAGUCGAACGGAAAGGCCCUGCUUUUGUGGGGUGCUCGAGUGGCGAACGGGUGAGUAACACGUGAGUAACCUGCCCUUGACUUUGGGAUAACUUCAGGAAACUGGGGCUAAUACCGGAUAGGAGCUCCUGCUGCAUGGUGGGGGUUGGACAGUUUCGGCGGUUGGGGAUGGACUCGCGGCUUAUCAGCUUGUUGGUGGGGUAGUGGCUUACCAAGGCUUUGACGGGUAGCCGGCCUGAGAGGGUGACCGGCCACAUGGGGACUGAGAGACGGCCCAGACGCCUACGGGAGGCAGCAGUGGGGAAUAUUGCACAAUGGGCGGAAGCCUGAUGCAGCAACGCCGCGUGCGGGAUGACGGCCUUCGGGUUGUAAACCGCUUUCGCCUGUGACGAAGCGUGAGUGACGGUAAUGGGUAAAGAAGCACCGGCUAACUACGUG
rnacentral:rRNA from 1 species